AUCCCAUGACGAGGAAAUUUCCUUUACAACUCCUUGAAUCUUUCCUAAGCAUCAAACAAAGACUCAUCACCUCCUUGUCUAAAUGAGGUAAUAUAAUUUUUAAUAUU